rnacentral:ncRNA from 1 species
AGCGUCCUUCGUGGGAGUCCUGAGAACAGGGCUGAGAGGGAGCUGAUACUGCUCCGACCGCUACCCGACCUGACCCGGAUCAUGCCGGCGCAGGCAGCCAAGGAGACCCUAUGGU